rnacentral:rRNA from 1 species
CCUACGGGAGGCUGCAGUGGGGAAUUUUGCGCAAUGCUCGUAAGAGUGACGCAGCGACGCCGCGUGAAUGACGAAGGCCUUCGGGUCAUAAAGUUCUUUCGACAGGGAAGAAAAUGCCUAUAAGUAACUGUGUAUGUAUUGACGGUACCUGUAUAAGCAGCCCCGGCUAACUCCGUGCCAGCAGCCGCGGUAAUACGGAGGGGGCGAGCGUUGUUCGGAGUGACUGGGCGUAAAGAGCACGUAGGCGGUGUUGUAAGUCAUUAGUCAAAGACUAGAGCUCAACUUUAGUAAGGCUAGUGAUACUAUAAUACGAGAGUAUCAGAGAGGAUUGCAGAAUUCGUGGGGUAGCGGUGAAAUGCGUAGAUAUCAGGAGGAAUACCGUUAGCGAAGGCGGCAAUCUGGCUGGAAACUGACGCUGAGGUGCGAAAGCGUGGGUAGCAAACAGGAUUAGAUACCCCAGUAGUC